CCUACGGGAGGCAGCAGGGGGGAAUAUUGGACAAUGGGCGAAAGCCUGAUCCAGCAAUACCGAGUGAGUGAUGAAGGCCUUAGGGUUGUAAAACUCUUUUAGCAAGGAAGAUAAUGACGUUACUUGCAGAAAAAGCCCCGGCUAACUCCGUGCCAGCAGCCGCGGUAGGACGGAGGGGGCUAGCGUUGUUCGGAAUUACUGGGUGUAAAGAGUGCGUAGGCGGUUUGGUAAGUUGGAAGUGAAAGCCCGGGGCUUAACCUCGGAAUUGCUUUCAAAACUACUAAUCUAGAGUGUAGUAGGGGAUGAUGGAAUUCCUAGUGUAGAGGUGAAAUUCUUAGAUAUUAGGAGGAACACCGGUGGCGAAGGCGGUCAUCUGGGCUACAACUGACGCUGAUGCACGAAAGCGUGGGGAGCAAACAGGAUUAGAUACCCUGGUAGUCCACGCCGUAAACGAUGAGUGCUAGAUAUCGGAAGAUUCUCUUUCGGUUUCGCAGCUAACGCAUUAAGCACUCCGCCUGGGGAGUACGGUCGCAAGAUUAAAACUCAAAGGAAUUGACGG
rnacentral:rRNA from 1 species